rnacentral:rRNA from 1 species
UACAGAGGUCCCAAGCGUUGUUCGGAUUCACUGGGCGUAAAGGGGUGCGUAGGCGGUCGGGUAAGUCUGAUGUGAAAUCUCACAGCUUAACUGUGAAACUGCAUUGGAUACUAUCCGGCUUGAGGAAUGGAGGGGAGACUGGAAUACUUGGUGGUAGCAGUGAAAUGCGUAGAUAUCAAGUGGAACACCAGUGGCGAAGGCGAGUCUCGUGGACAUUUCCUGACGCUGAGGCACGAAAGCCAGGGGAGCAAACGGG